AGCACAUUGCCUUAUAGUAUUUUUUUUUUUUUUACAUAUUAUAUGCAAAAAUGUAUUUUCUGGUAUGCUUCCAUCUAUUACAUGGUGGGCAUAAAUCUGAUUUUUUUAUUGUAUGGAUUGCAGUUCUUGCACUUUACAUAGAUUACACAGUUUAAGUCUCUGUUGUUGCAGUCUAUAUUGGACAUGCAUUGUCCUUUUUUGCUUGGAGUGACCUUUUGCAAUAUUGUAUUAUAUGGUUUAUAUUAUUUAAUGUGUUUUCUUAUGGUUUUAUUAUGCUCACUUUUCACUUAUAUUCUGUCAACUGUGUUUGUUUUGUCUAUAUAUAGGUCAGUCUUGAUGUGAUUUUGAUGUUUGUAGCCUGACUGCUGUACAUUGUUGUUUAUACCAUGCACUUUGUUUACAUUGUGUUUCUAUGGUCCCAUGUCUCACUGAGUGACAUCACUUCUGGUGCAUCGGAGGUGCCAUGUCUGGAGGUGCUCGGGCAGGAGAUUUGGCUGGUGGGAUCGUGGAACACAUGCUAGGGGGAGUCUCAUGGCCAGGUACCAUAUCACUAAAAGUGAUUCUGACAUUGGCAUGUGACAAGCACUAAUUUUAGAAAAUGGCCUCAGCACAAGGGUGAAGAAACCUUCAGCAGUGACAGGGUUAACGCAUAUUUUUUUACCCAGACAGGCCCCUCUGAAGCACUGCAGCAGGGUUCGUCGUAGCGUCAUUAAUUAUGUCCGAGGAGAUUGGGAAUUUGCUAAAGGCACUUCCAAAAGGUCAAUCGUAAGGCAAAGAUGAGGGCGAUAUUUCAAGAAACAGUGAUUCUGAUAAUGAAGCAAGAAAGAGCGCAGCAGAGUGUUCAGAAAAAUUGGUGGAGAUUGACAAUGAUGGUCCUGAUGACCCUUCACCUGUGUGUGGUCACAGAAAAGGUGUCACCUUGUCCAGAUGACAACCACGUGAUCGAGGUGCUAGAGAUGGUUCAGCUGCUAAGCUACAUGGUGCUGAUGCAGCUGCUACGGUUGGCAUUCUGCAAUAUGUCAAUAAUGACCAGGAUAUAGCAGGAGACAAUGCCGGUGAUGCUCAUGAUGAAGCACAGGAUGCAGGACUAUAACUUUCUGAGAUGACUGUAGUUAAUGUUUAAAUAAAAAAAAAACCACAAUGUUAUUUGAUCACUAAA